GGAGUUAUCUACUAAGCGGCUGCAAGAUGCAGCCACAGCAAGAAUUGAAUCGGAGUUUCAUUCAUUCGAAUGAAAUUCCAAUCCGAAUAAAGUGCCGAAUUGCAUUCUAAAACAAACGAACAUACUGUUCUCAUUCAGUUAGAACGCAAUUCGGCAGUUUAGUGUAAAAUGACAGGAAGCAUCGCGGGAACACAGAGGAAAGGUGAGAAUUGUG